rnacentral:rRNA from 1 species
GCGUGCCGGGUGCUACCAUGCAAGUCGAACGAUGAAGCCCUUCGGGGUGGAUUAGUGGCGAACGGGUGAGUAACACGUGGGCAAUCUGCCCUUCACUCUGGGACAAGCCCUGGAAACGGGGUCUAAUACCGGAUAACACUCUGUCCCGCAUGGGACGGGGUUAAAAGCUCCGGCGGUGAAGGAUGAGCCCGCGGCCUAUCAGCUUGUUGGUGGGGUAAUGGCCUACCAAGGCGACGACGGGUAGCCGGCCUGAGAGGGCGACCGGCCACACUGGGACUGAGACACGGCCCAGACUCCUACGGGAGGCAGCAGUGGGGAAUAUUGCACAAUGGGCGAAAGCCUGAUGCAGCGACGCCGCGUGAGGGAUGACGGCCUUCGGGUUGUAAACCUCUUUCAGCAGGGAAGAAGCGAAAGUGACGGUACCUGCAGAAGAAGCGCCGGCUAACUACGUGCCAGCAGCCGCGGUAAUACGUAGGGCGCAAGCGUUGUCCGGAAUUAUUGGGCGUAAAGAGCUCGUAGGCGGCUUGUCACGUCGGAUGUGAAAGCCCGGGGCUUAACCCCGGGUCUGCAUUCGAUACGGGCUAGCUAGAGUGUGGUAGGGGAGAUCGGAAUUCCUGGUGUAGCGGUGAAAUGCGCAGAUAUCAGGAGGAACACCGGUGGCGAAGGCGGAUCUCUGGGCCAUUACUGACGCUGAGGAGCGAAAGCGUGGGGAGCGAACAGGAUUAGAUACCCUGGUAGUCCACGCCGUAAACGUUGGGAACU